rnacentral:lncRNA from 1 species
GUGUGAGGGAGCCACGGGUAAGGGAGGCAUUAGUUAACUUUAGCUGUUACUGAUUAAUGAAAAGCGUUGAGUGUUGCAAGCAAACUCAUUUUAAGUUGUUCUUGUUACAGUGUAAGCUUGCUUUCUAAGCCUGCUUUUGUUUUUCCAGAAUAGGUGUGAGGUACAGCAAGAACACCUUGUGCUGUGCAAUUCUCCCCAUGCCUCUGUGUACCUGGGCUGUUGCAUUGCUUGCUUGAAAGGACGUAGGGACUUCAGGCUAGGAAAAGCUAGAGGAGCAAAGGUAAGAGGUCCCUUGUACUGAAUUGCAGCAGGCAGUUCAUAUUUCUGGGGGGAAAAAAGUUAUUCUGCUGUUGCAAGAGUUGCAGCAGAUGGUCCUGAAGAGCAGUGGUGAUGAAGUAACCUGUUCUGGCCAGCCCCAGCCCGCUGCUCUCAGAGAAGGACAAGUGAUGGUCUCUACUGUCACCUGCUGCCUCCCCAGCUGCUAGGUCAUCAGGCAGUACAGUGUACUGAUUUUGUUCAUGUAAAGCAAAGUUUUUUUUGGUACAUACUCACAGGAAGGAAAUAAAUUAUUUAAGCAGGUGCCCAUCUCCUGCCACUGCCAGGGCUGUUCACUACAGACAGACAUCUCAGCUGCCUGCAGACAGCAGGUAUAGGGGAGUAGGAAGCAAUGUGCAGCCUGGCUGCCUCUGCUGAAGGAUUGGGAUUCUUCAAAGGGGCAGGGUCACAGCAUGCUCUGCCUCCUGGUGUUAGAGCGUGGCCGCUUGUCACUUCUUAUCACUGCAUAAACAGUACAGCAGAUCUGAAGGAAGCUGCUGCUUUGUAGGAAGACAUCCAAGAAGGGGAGAACUCCAUGCUGCUACUUUCGGAAGUGCUGUUAACACUUUUCUCCCUUCUGCAAUUCAGCUGUUUGUGCUGUUUGCUGCAGUGUGCCACCCACAGUACACAAGAAUGCUUCUGAAAUCAAACUUAGGGCAUCACGGUUUAACACAGACAGUUUUCUGUUCCUGUGAGUGGUGCAGUACCAAGACUGGAUGUAACAUUCUCUGUAAUAGGACAGGUGCUUCCAGACUGCAGUGUGAGCAAAACUGGCAUUACAUGACCCAUGGGGAAAACAGCUUCUUGUGCAGUGCAUAGCCCAUCCUAAACGUGGAGCAGAUGGUAGCACUGAGGUCAGAGCAUGGCCUGGCACCCAACUCGUGUGCUCCUGCUGGAAGGAGGGCCCAAGCCUCCUCCCUGCCUUCCCUGCAAAGAGCCAGGGUGGGAGCAGAUGGGGCCUUCCCUUCUGACAGCAUGGGACAUUCGUGAGAACAUCUCACAGCUGACUUCUCCCUAUGAAAGUGCUUUAUGUUCCAGGCAGAAAGCCGAGUGAGUGGAAUAAGACCAAAUAUUGUGGUUUUGCUAAGUAAGGGACCAUUCAGUCUGUGCUUAGAGCUGAGCAGUCACGUGGUCCAUUUAAAUAACGGCAGAUUUUGAUAGCUGCAUAGGGAUAGAUCUAAGGAAAUUCUCCUCGAGCCCUGUCAGCAACCAGCUCGCACCCCAACCAUUGAGAACUGCUUUAAAUAACCAUUGCUUUUCAGUUUGCUCGGGUUCUGGCGUCGUCAAACGACCAAAAGCGCUCGGGGUGUUCCCUCCUCGCAGUAGCGGCUCAACCUGCGCGCCCCGCCCCCGG